AGUCGAGGGGUAUGGGCUUUCGGGCCCGAGACCGGCGCACGGGUGCGUAACGCGUAUGCAAUCUACCUUUUACAGCGGGAUAGCCCAGAGAAAUUUGGAUUAAUACCACAUAGUAUUAUAGGAUGGCAUCAUUUUAUAAUUAAAGUCACAACGGUAAAAGAUGAGCAUGCGUCCCAUUAGCUAGUUGGUAAGGUAACGGCUUACCAAGGCAACGAUGGGUAGGGGUCCUGAGAGGGAGAUCCCCCACACUGGUACUGAGACACGGACCAGACUCCUACGGGAGGCAGCAGUGAGGAAUAUUGGACAAUGGGCGCAAGCCUGAUCCAGCCAUGCCGCGUGCAGGAUGACGGUCCUAUGGAUUGUAAACUGCUUUUAUACAGGAAGAAACCCUUGCUCGUGAGCAAGAUUGACGGUACUGUAAGAAUAAGGAUCGGCUAACUCCGUGCCAGCAGCCGCGGUAAUACGGAGGAUCCAAGCGUUAUCCGGAAUCAUUGGGUUUAAAGGGUCCGUAGGCGGUUUAAUAAGUCAGUGGUGAAAGCCCAUCGCUCAACGGUGGAACGGCCAUUGAUACUGUUA
rnacentral:rRNA from 1 species